CUUGGGUAUCAGAGUUUAUUAAAAAAUAUUUUUAGGGAAAAAAUUCUCGAAUUUAAAAGAGAUAAUUAAUUAAUUAAGUUAUUGUAGCAUAAAUAUUUAAAAUAAUUAAUUUGAAAUGAAAUGUUAAUCGUUUUUAAAUAUAUCUAGUUCUUUUAGAAAAAAAUUUAAUUUUUUAUUAACCUACAAAAAAACUAAUUAAUUAGUUUUUUUGUAGGUUAAUGUUAUAUUUUAGGGGAUAAGCUUUAAUUUAAAUUUAUAUAAAUGUUAAUUAACUAAAUUGAAAUUUUUAUAAUUUAUAUUGUUAAAAAAUUUUAAUUUAUUAUAAAUAAUUUCAUUUAAAAAUAAAAUUUAAUAAAAUUUUAUGUUUUUAUAAAAGAGAAAUUUUAAAUUUUAAAAAAGUUGUUAUAAUGAUAAAAUUAGUAAAUAAAUUUAUAAAAAUAAUAAUUUUUAUGUAAAAUUAAUUAAAAGGAAUUCGGCAAAAAUUUAUAUUCACUUGUUUAUCAAAAACAUGUCUUUUUGAAAAUAAUAUAAAGUCUA
rnacentral:rRNA from 1 species